UCAUCUCUUCCUAGUACUUUGGGAGCAGAAAACCUCUGUAGUGACAGGAAUUGGUUAAUUCUUCCAGGCUCUUCGUUUCACAGCCUCAGCACUUCAUGGAUUCUUCUUGCUGCCAAGCUGACCAGUACUUAAACUGAUACUUUUCCUGCUUAAGAAAAAACACAGCAGAUUUUUUUCUUCCAAAACACAACCACAUAUGAGUUGAAUCUUCCCCUUAAAGUAAAUAUGGACUGAAGGUGAACUUGGGAAGAUCAAGGGAACUGCACAAUCCUUUCAAAUGCUCUGCAAGGGACAAUGGAAGGUCAGAGUGCAGAAAGCAGAGAUUCUUAUGCCUCCCUGCAAGCGGAUCUUUCUCAGUUGUCCCAGCCCUAAGGUAUCAUGGAAUGUAUCACCCUCCUGCCCUCUCUUUCAGGGACAACUGGACCUUGGUUCAUGGAGAACUAUCUAACACAGCUCCAGGGAAUAGCGGCGGAGGGUUGAGGAGUUCUGGGUCCUUUUUUGCACACAGUGAUGAUGUGUAAAAAGGACAAGCGACGGAUGUUUUCAUCCUGGAGUGGCUGGAGGGGCAGGGCGGGAAUCCCUUCUUGCCGUGCUUUCACUUACACUCCGCUGCUCCGUCCCACGUCCCUCACAGCAGCCUUAGGACCAAACGAAACCUGCCGUGGUGCCGUGUUUAGAGACUGUCCCGAUCCCGCUGGAUGCAGCGGGAGGAGCGGCACGCUCCGCUCCCGGCUCCCAGCCCGCUGUCCCUGGUGCUGGAGCCGCUCCGGCGCCGCCGCUGCCGCUGCCAGCGGCACCCGCUGGAUCCCGGCGCUCCAAGCCCUCCCCUGGCACCAAGUGCCCUUUCAGACCAA